CCUACGGGAGGCAGCAGUGGGGAAUAUUGGACAAUGGGGGCAACCCUGAUCCAGCCAUGCCGCGUGUGUGAAGAAGGCCCUCGGGUUGUAAAGCACUUUCAGCGAGGAAGAACGCCUAGCGGUUAAUACCCGCUAGGAAAGACAUCACUCGCGGAAGAAGCACCGGCUAACUCCGUGCCAGCAGCCGCGGUAAUACGGAGGGUGCAAGCGUUAAUCGGAAUUACUGGGCGUAAAGCGCGCGUAGGUGGCUUGAUAAGCCGGUUGUGAAAGCCCCGGGCUCAACCUGGGAACGGCAUCCGGAACUGUCAAGCUAGAGUGCAGGAGAGGAAGGUAGAAUUCCCGGUGUAGCGGUGAAAUGCGUAGAGAUCGGGAGGAAUACCAGUGGCGAAGGCGGCCUUCUGGACUGACACUGACACUGAGGUGCGAAAGCGUGGGUAGCAAACAGGAUUAGAUACCCUGGUAGUCCACGCCGUAAACGAUGUCGACCAGCCGUUGGGUGCCUAGCGCACUUUGUGGCGAAGUUAACGCGAUAAGUCGACCGCCUGGGGAGUACGGCCGCAAGGUUAAAACUCAAAUGAAUUGACGGA
rnacentral:rRNA from 1 species